rnacentral:rRNA from 2 species
GUGGGUAGUUUGACUGGGGCGGUCUCCUCCCAAAGCGUAACGGAGGAGCACGAAGGUUAGCUAAUCCUGGUCGGACAUCAGGAGGUUAGUGCAAUGGCAUAAGCUAGCUUGACUGCGAGCGUGACGGCGCGAGCAGGUGCGAAAGCAGGUCAUAGUGAUCCGGUGGUUCUGAAUGGAAGGGCCAUCGCUCAACGGAUAAAAGGUACUCCGGGGAUAACAGGCUGAUACCGCCCAAGAGUUCAUAUCGACGGCGGUGUUUGGCACCUCGAUGUCGGCUCAUCACAUCCUGGGGCUGAAGUAGGUCCCAAGGGUAUGGCUGUUCGCCAUUUAAAGUGGUACGCGAGCUGGGUUUAGAACGUCGUGAGACAGUUCGGUCCCUAUCUGCCGUGGGCGCUGGAGAAUUGAGGGGGGCUGCUCCUAGUACGAGAGGACCGGAGUGGACGCAUCACUGGUGUUCGGGUUGUCAUGCCAAUGGCACUGCCCGGUAGCUAAAUGCGGAAGAGAUAAGUGCUGAAAGCAUCUAAGCACGAAACUUGCCCCGAGAUGAGUUCUCCCUGAGACUUUAAGUCUCCUGAAGGAACGUUAAAGACGA